CAGUAGCCACGGUAAUACGUAGGGUGCAAGCGUUAAUCGGAAUUACUGGGCGUAAAGCGUGCGUAGGUGGUGGUUUAAGUCCGUUGUGAAAGCCCUGGGCUCAACCUGGGAAUUGCAGUGGAUACUGGGUCACUAGAGUGUGGUAGAGGAUAGUGGAAUUUCCGGUGUAGCGGUGAAAUGCGCAGAUAUCAGGAGGAACACCGGUGGCGAAGGCGGCUUACUGGCUCAUACUGGACGCUGAGGUGCGAAAGCGUGGGGAGCAAACAGGAUUAGAUACCCCGGUAGUCCCUGUCUCUUAUAC
rnacentral:rRNA from 1 species